UACGAAGGGUGCAAACGUUGCUCGGAAUUAUUGGGCGUAAAGCGCACGUAGGCGGCUUGGCAAGUCGGAUGUGAAAUCCCUCGGCUCAACCAAGGAAGUGCAUCCGAAACUGCUGAGCUUGAGUACUUAAGAGGAUCGCGGAAUUCCCGGUGUAGAGGUGAAAUUCGUAGAUAUCUGGAGGAAUACCGGUGGCGAAGGCGGCAUCCUGGACCGGCAUUGACGCUGAGGAGCGAAAGCUAGGGGAGCAAACGGG
rnacentral:rRNA from 1 species